rnacentral:rRNA from 1 species
AUUGAACGCUGGCGGCAUGCCUUACACAUGCAAGUCGAACGGUAACAGGUCUUCGGAUGCUGACGAGUGGCGAACGGGUGAGUAAUACAUCGGAACGUGCCCGAUCGUGGGGGAUAACGGAGCGAAAGCUUUGCUAAUACCGCAUACGAUCUACGGAUGAAAGCAGGGGACCGCAAGGCCUUGCGCGAACGGAGCGGCCGAUGGCAGAUUAGGUAGUUGGUGGGGUAAAAGCUUACCAAGCCGACGAUCUGUAGCUGGUCUGAGAGGACGACCGGCCACACUGGGACUGAGACACGGCCGAGACUCCGACGGGAGGCAGCAGUGGGGAAUUUUGGACAAUGGGCGCAAGCCUGAUCCAGCAAUGCCGCGUGCAGGAUGAAGGCCUUCGGGUUGUAAACUGCUUUUGUACGGAACGAAAAGGCUCUGGUUAACACCUGGGGCUCAUGACGGUACCGUAAGAAUAAGCACCGGCUAACUACGUGCCAGCAGCCGCCGUAAUAC